GGGUGAUUAGCUCAGCUGGGAGAGCACCUC
rnacentral:ncRNA from 2 species